rnacentral:lncRNA from 1 species
AAAGGUAUUAUUCAAUAUGGAACCCAUGGUUUGGAAGUUUUGACAGGUUCAAAUGGUGGAAAUGUAGAAUCUACGGAUGUACUGCAGUCAAAAUUUCCACGCAUUCAUGCAAUUAGCGUGUCAGUGACAUUUGAGUUGAGAUCGGACGAUCUAGAUUUCAAUACAGAUUUUGAUUUUUCUUUCCUGAAAUAAUCAUAAUGAGCUUAAAAUCUGAACCAUCUGAUGCUCCGACUACGUGAAUGCGCGGAAAUCGUGGCAGCAGCGAAUCUGGAUUUGGAAAUGUCUACUUGACGGGUUUAUUUUUUUCCCAGAAAGGGACAAAGGGGUUAGAUGGACAUGGACUUGAUUAUAUUAGUUAAAUUUAACAUAUAUAUGCAGUGACAUCAAUUGAUAGGAAAUAGCAGAAUAUGUUUUAUGACAGUGACAAGUGGGUUUAGGUUUUUUAGAGAUUGAAUAUGUGGAGAUUUUAAUAUGUAUGUCAUCAAUUGUAAAUUUUCAUUUUCAGAAAAAUAAAGUGUAGUAGAGGAAAUUGAAUUAACUGAAAUCAUUAUGGUCCUAAAAACUUACUAAACUGUCCUGGCUCAGUUUAUGUAAGAAUUGUGAUAUUUUGACACCACCCUUUCAUUGCAAGGGGAUUUUAAUGAGAGUUUCAGAUAUGAUAAGAAAUAACUUAAACAUGAAGAAUGGCAAUCAUCCGGCUCUCACAUUUUGAGCUGAUUUUGUAGGGUAGAGUUAGACCUAAUCCAAAUUUUAAGAUGGUAUUGGAGUCUAUCAAAAAUCUAUUGGGUCAUCCAUUAUAGAGUCACUUGAGUCACGCUCUAGAUGUUCGUUUUUAGUUGUGAGGGGUGUGUUAAGAGUCUCGUAUUAUGAGAUUUGACCUAAAAAUCUGUUUAUGAAUGGAAGACAUUUCUCACCUUUUAAACUAAUUUUGUAAAGUUGAGUUAGGCCAACCCAAAUUCUAAGAAUUUUGAUUAUCAAAUUUCUUUACCGUCCUAAUUUGUGUAGGUGAAAUUAUAAAAUAAAAAACUAUAUAGUAAAUUAAGCCACCUUUGCUAAAUUAGUUUCAAGAUUAAUAAAUCAAUAUAGCUUGUGUUAAAA